UGGGUAACCUGCCUCAAAGAGGGGAAUAGCCUCCCGAAAGGGAGAUUAAUACCGCAUAAUAUGUUUUAAUCGCAUGAUUUUAACAUCAAAGGAUUUUCUUCGGAACUUCCACUUUGAGAUGGACCCGCGGCGCAUUAGCUAGUUGGUGAGGUAACGGCUCACCAAGGCAACGAUGCGUAGCCGACCUGAGAGGGUGAUCGGCCACACUGGGACUGAGACACGGCCCAGACUCCGUAGGGAGG
rnacentral:rRNA from 1 species